GAUUCUGGCUCAGGAUGAACGCUAGCGGUAGGCCUAACACAUGCAAGUCGAGGGGCAUCACAUGAAGUAGCAAUACGGAUGGUGGCGACCGGCGCACGGGUGAGUAACACGUAUGCAACCUGCCUUCAACAAGGGCAUAACCCGUUGAAAGACGGACUAAUUCCCUAUAACACAGGGGUCCCGCAUGGGAAUAUUUGUUAAAGAUUAAUCGGUUGAAGAUGGGCAUGCGUUCCAUUAGCUGGUUGGCGGGGUAACGGCCCACCAAGGCAACGAUGGAUAGGGGAACUGAGAGGUUUAUCCCCCACACUGGUACUGAGACACGGACCAGACUCCUACGGGAGGCAGCAGUGAGGAAUAUUGGUCAAUGGACGCAAGUCUGAACCAGCCACGUCCGCGUGAAGGAAGACGGCCCUACGGGUUGUAAACUUCUUUUGUAAGGGAAUAAAGUGGGCCACGUGUGGCUUUUUGCAUGUACCUUACGAAUAAGGAUCGGCUAACUCCGUGCCAGCAGCAGC
rnacentral:rRNA from 1 species